GAUGAACGCUGGCGGCGUGCCUAAUACAUGCAAGUCGAGCGAACAGACGAGGAGCUUGCUCCUCUGACGUUAGCGGCGGACGGGUGAGUAACACGUGGAUAACCUACCUAUAAGACUGGGAUAACUUCGGGAAACCGGAGCUAAUACCGGAUAAUAUAUUGAACCGCAUGGUUCAAUAGUGAAAGACGGUUUUGCUGUCACUAAUAGAUGGAUCCGCGCCGCAUUAGCUAGUUGGUAAGGUAACGGCUUACCAAGGCAACGAUGCGUAGCCGACCUGAGAGGGUGAUCGGCCACACUGGAACUGAGACACGGUCCAGACUCCUACGGGAGGCAGCAGUAGGGAAUCUUCCGCAAUGGGCGAAAGCCUGACGGAGCAACGCCGCGUGAGUGAUGAAGGUCUUCGGAUCGUAAAACUCUGUUAUUAGGGAAGAACAAAUGUGUAAGUAACUAUGGACGUCUUGACGGUACCUAAUCAGAAAGCCCCGGCUAACUACGUG
rnacentral:rRNA from 1 species